rnacentral:rRNA from 2 species
CGUGUAGGCGGUUUGUUAAGUCUGAUGUGAAAGCCCCGGGCUCAACCUGGGAAGUGCAUUGGAAACUGGCAGACUUGAAUACGGGAGAGGGUAGUGGAAUUCCUAGUGUAGGAGUGAAAUCCGUAGAUAUUAGGAGGAACACCGGUGGCGAAGGCGGCUACCUGGACCGAUAUUGACGCUGAGACGCGAAAGCGUGGGGAGCAAACA